CAGGCUUCCCUGCAUUAUUGGGAGGAAACUGGACCCUGAAAGUAGCCCAGUCAUCACAGUGUCCCAUCAAGCCAAAAAUCCUGUGAGAUCCUUCCUCCGGAAUAAGAGCCUGUUUCUCAGCAAGCUUUCUAACAGGAUUUUAACUCUUCUGUGCAGCUGGCCUGAACAUUGAACCAGCAAAUUGAGAACGCACAGUGGUAUGUAUGCUUGGGUCUUAAUGAAAUUUCCCACGUGUGCUAUUCAGUCAGCUUCAAACAUUCUCAGGACAGGUACUGAAGAGCUGAGGAAUCAGGCAGGUGCUCGGAGGUGAGAAUUGGUCCAGGAAACACAGUGUGUGAAUUCACAGUCUAGAGAGUGGACCCAGCUGUGGGUCUUCUCUUUAGCAGGAGGGCUCUUCCCUUUGAAGAACUGUGUCCCUUUCAGCCUGCCGUGGCCUCUCCUACCUCCCUGGGAGACUUCACUUCCUGUGGGAAAGAACCACUCAUUGAUAAUACCUCAGGGAAAGUAAGAGCAGCAUUAGAAUAAUCACACAGAUACCCUCUCUCCACUUCUCAACUGUGGCUUAUUUCCAUUUGCUUCCAAGGACACUGAUGUGAAAGGGAACAAUGCGAUAUUGAUGUCAAUGAAACCCACCUUGCUCUCAGUCUGAGGGUUGGUUAUGCUCUGAAAUAUAAGGGGGAACUUGGUUCCUUAGAGACCCAUCUGAGCCCCACCCAUGCUAAAUCUUAACCGUGGUCAGUGGACUUUAUUUAAGUGAGGGUGUUUCAGAGGACGUUAACAAGGUUCUCAAGCCAUUCUUCCCCCGGUAAAGGCUGUGUCUUCUAAGGCAAGCCUUUCUCUCCCCAACCUGUUGAUGGCACCAAUUUGACUUUUGGUAGAUAUUCCCCCCAAAAGGAGGGUGCUCUGUUUUAUUCACUUCUGUAUCCCCAGAGCCUAGAAUAGUGCCUGACACAUGGCAGUUGAAAGGGAAAUGUUGCAAGUUAUUUGUUGAAAUGUACCUGUCAUUGACAACAGUGUCAAGAUGCUCAAUCUAUGCCUAGCCACUUCCAUUUGGCAUCUAGAAACUUAAACGAGAGGAUGGUGGAGAUUUGGUUCGAUAGACUUAAAAUUGCAACAGGAAAGACCCUCAGCUCAGCUUCUGGAAAAACCAACCAGUCCCCCUGUUUCUGUUUUGCCAACUGUGAAAAGGGGUCUGGCCAAGUCUUCACUGUGACAGAGGGAGGAAAAAAUGCGAGCACGGUGUUUAUCACCUAAGAGAGUGAUGCGUUCCUGCGAGGUGCUUGUCAACUCCACUCUUAGCUCCUUCUUUUUCUGAAAAGCAGACUUGGGAAACUAUAGAGUGAGACGUCUAUCAAGAGUCCAUCCCUCUUGUUUCUACCUUCUCCUGAUAGAAUUGCCAUGGAUUCAGCACCACAAUGGUUGUUUAGGCUAAAUAUUGGUCCCCAGAUUGGAUGCCUACAUGUCCUAAACCUGCCUUCUGAAAAUGUACUCUGUAUGAACAGGCAAGCGAAGGACAAUGUAUGUGGCAUGUCAGCAGUCCCAUAACUUCCCUGUUAUAGAACAAGAUUCCCACAGAGUUUGAACACAGAAUCAUCUUUAAGGAAGGCACUGUUUGGGAGCCAAGGGACCCCAGGCAGGGAUUCCUAACCCCAAGCCCCAUUCCCAGCACCCCUAACUGCCUGUAGUUCUGUGACCAGAGCAAAGCGUUUAACCCUUGGGACUCAGCUUCUUUGUCUGUGAAAUAACACUGGCUUCCUGCCUCCCAAGGGGACAGAAAGAAGACUGAUUUAAUAUUUACAUAGCACAUUGAGAACUUCCAGGACAGGCACCAUACAACUGGGAAAUAUGAUAUAAUGGGAAGAAUGUCUUUUAAGUUGUUGGUCUCUGCUCAGCCUUUCCACUUGAGCAUGUUUCCACUUGCUCAUUUGCAAGUCUCGUCUGGUCUUUGCUUUCUGGUGGGCUUUUUCCUUCUCCCUUGUGCAUGUGUGCAGGUUUGGGCAACUGUGAGUAUGUGGAUGGCCUCAGUUUCCGCUUUGCAUGCCUGUAAAUCCAGAGUAUUUGGAAGUCCUUAUCAGACCCAGAUGGCUGUCUUCCCUCCCAGAACUUCCAGUGAAAUCCCUCGCUACUAUGUUGUUUGCCCCACAUAGGACUAUCACCUCAGAGAACCCUGUUUGCUUACAACUCGAGCUCACCGUUUUACAGCACAUCAGGUCAGGUGAGUCCCUUCUGGCAGUGGCAGCAGGCCUUGUUCCCAGGAUCUGCCAUCACCCUGGUUGAACUGCUGCCUGUGAAGGUCCAGGAUGCGGCAGCGCAGGAAGCCCACAGGCUCACAGGUUCUUUCCUGAACUGGUUGUCAGGAGUAAGCACUUCUUAGUUUGUUGUAGAUAAUCAGUUCAUUUCCAGAGUGCUGAGAUGGCUAUUUUAUUCAACACUUUGUCCAGAUUUCUAGCUGCUUUUUUUGAGCUGAUUCAUCAGUCUCCAACGUGAAUUUUCCAUCUUAUUCUGAAUCACAUUCCACCCAAAUUAACUUCAUAAGGAUAGACUUCAAGAGGACUCAAACAUUUCAAAGCUAUCUGUUCAAAGCUACCAUAGUGCCAGAGUUUUACAAGUAACCUAUACCUACUUUUGAUAAUUGAUAUGUGUUUUAUUUUUAGAUAUUAUUUGUAUUUGUUCAUACUCAUUCCAAAAGUAAAUACUGAGUUAUUUCAAUCUGCCUAGUUAUAAGCAUAUUUUUUAAUAUAAGUAUGUAAUAUUUUAAUAAAAUAUGUUGGAAUGUAGGCUUGAUCUUUGGAUUGAAAGAAACAACACUUAGUCAUGGACAUAAACUUUGGAGAGUUGAUACGUUUGAACUGAGCUGUUUAUUUCUAUGCAAAUUCUCCCCUGCCUCCUAUUCUGUCACACUAAUCCCUGUUCUUUUAGGCAAGAAUGUAAUUCCCUUAUACCCCCUCCUGUCUUUUAAAAUAGAAACUUACUUUAGUUAUGUAUCAGUGCUUCAAACAAGAAUAUAAUGGGUGGCUAAUCUGUUAUAAAUUUGAGAAUGCAUUUCAUGAAAAAAAGUUACAGAGCUGCCAAAGAGGGAGGGCUACAGAGAGAGAGAGAGAGGAUGUAAAACCUAGUUUGGGGAGCUUGUUAGGAAUCUAAUUUUCUGCAGUUCUGGAAGCAGGUGUAACAUGCCCAGGGAGCCUGGAAUCUAAAGAAGCUUAUAACCCUGGCUCAGGACGGGAGAAGAACUGGUUGUAUUGAGACUGUUCUGCAUUUUCUGCAUUUGCUUUGACAGAUUCCUUUUGAAUGCUUACGGAGGACCAAAUGUUGGUCUAGAGAGAAAGUGAGCCAUGUUGGGGGACCCACGUUAGAUACUAUACAGAAGGGCACUUAGAGGUGUGGACGGGCCCCAGAAAAGGAUAAUCUGAAAUGGUGCUCUGGAUUCCUUAAGAGCUAAGAAGAAAAGUCACCAGAGUGGAUUACAUACACUUAGGUCAAUGGCAUUACAGGUGAGAAAGCUGUGGGCACAGACUGCUCAAAAUCAUCUCCCAUAACUCUGCUACUUCUGCAGUUUUGAUCCCGGCGGGUCAGAAACCAUAAACUGCCAUCUAACCCUCAUCCAAGGUAAGGAGCAGCAGCUGUGCUUUGCUGGAGCAGACGUGAAGAGAUAACCCCACGUCCAAGGUAAAGAGAAACCAAGUAAGAUGGUAGGUGUUGCAAGAGGGCAUCAGAGGGCAGACACACUGAAACCAUGCUCACAGAAAACUAGUCAAUCUAAUCACACUAGGACCACAGCCUUGUCUAACUCAAUGAAACCAAGCCAUGCCUGUGGGGCAACCCAAGACAGGCGGGUCAUGGUGGAGAGGUCUGACAGAACGUGGUCCACUGGAGAAGGGAAUGGCAAACCACUUCAGUAUUCUUGCCUUGAGAACCCCAUGAACAGUAUGAAAAGGCAAUAUGAUAGGAUACCAAAAGAGGAACUCCCCAAGUCAUUAGGUGCCCAAUAAGCUACUGGAGAUCAGAGGAGAAAUAACUACAGAAAGAACGAAGGGAUGGAGCCAAAGCAAAAACCAUACCCAGUUGUGGAUGUGACUGGUGAUAGAAGCAAGAUCUGAUGCUAUAAAGAGCAGUAUUGCAUAGGCACCUGGAAUGUCAGGUCCAUGAAUCAAAGCAAAUUGGAAGUGGUCAAACAAGAGAUGGCAAGGGUGAACGUCAACAUUCUAGGAAUCAGCAAACUAAAAUGGACUGGAAUGGGUGAAUUUAACUCAGAUGACCAUUAUAUCUAUUACUGCGGGCAGGAAUCCCUCAGAAGAAAUGGAGUAGCCAUCAUGGUCAACAAAAGAGUCCAAAAAGCAGUACUUGGAUGCAAUCUCAAAAUGACAGAAUGGUCUCUGUUUGCCUCCAAGGCAAACCAUUCAAUAUCACAGUUAUCCAAGUCUAUGCCCCAAGCAGUAAUGCUGAGGAAGCUGAAGUUGAAUGGUUUUAUGAAGACCUACAAGACCUUUUAUAACUAACACCAAAAAAAGAUGUCCUUUUCAUUAUAGGGGACUGGAAUGCAAAAGUAGGAAGUCAAGAAACACUUGGAGUAACAGGCAAGUUUGGCCUUGGAAUGCGGAAUGAAGCAGGGCAAAGACUAAUAGAGUUUUGCCAAGAAAAUGCACUGCUCAUAGCAAACAGCUUCCAACAACACAAGAGAAGACUCUACACAUGGACAUCACCAGAUGGUCAACACCAAAAUCAGAUUGAUUAUAUUCUUUGCAGCCAAACAUGGAGAAGCUCUAUACAGUCAAAAAAACAAGACCAGGAGCUGACUGUGGCUCAGAUCAUGAACUCCUUAUUGCCAAAUUCAGACUUAAAUUGAAGAAAGUACGGAAAACUGCUAGACCAUUCAGGUAUGGCCUAAAUCAAAUCCCUUAUGACUAUACAGUGGAAGUGAGAAAUAGAUUUAAUGGCCGAGAUCUGAUAGAUAGAGUGCCUGAUGAACUAUGGACGGAGGUUCGUGACAUUGUGCAGGAGACAGGGAUCAAGACCAUCUCCAUGGAAAAGAAAUGCAAAAAAGCAAAAUGGCUGUCUGGGGAGGCCUUAAAAAUAGCUGUGAAGAGAAGAGAGGCAAAAGCAAAGGAGAAAAGGAAAGAUAUAAGCAUCUGAAUGCAGAGUUCCAAAGAAUAGCAAGAAGAGAUAAGAAAGCCUUCCUCAGCGAUCAAUGCAAAGAAAUAGAGGAAAACAACAGAAUGGGAAAGACUAGAGAUCUCUUCAAGAAAAUUAGAGAUACCAAGGGAACAUUUCAUGCAAAGAUGGGCUCGAUAAAGGACAGAAAUGGUAUGGAGCUAACAGAAGCAGAAGAUAUUAAGAAGAGGUGACAAGAAUACAUGGAAGAACUUUACAAAAAAGAUCUUCACGACCCAGAUAGUCAUGAUGAUGUGAUCACUAAUCUAGGACCAGACAUCUUGGAAUGUGAAGUCAAAUGGGCCUUAGAAAGCAUCACUAUGAACAAAGCUAGUGGAGGUGAUGGAAUUCCAGUUGAGCUGUUUCAAAUCCUGAAAGAUGAUGCUGUGAAAGAGCUGCACUCAAUAUGCCAGCAAAUUUGGAAAACUCAGCAGUGGCCACAGGACUGGAAAAGGUCAGUUUUCAUUCCAAUCCCAAAGAAAGGCAAUGCCAAAGAAUGGUCAAACUACCACACAAUUGCACUCAUCUCACAUGCUAGUAAAGUAAUGCUCAAAAUUCUCCAAGCCAGACUUCAGCAAUACGUGAACCGUGAACUCCCUGACGUUCAAGCUGGUUUUAGAAAAGGCAGAGGAACCAGAGAUCAAAUUGCCAAUAUCCACUGGAUCAUGAAAAAGCAAGAGCGUUCCAGAAAAACAUCUAUUUCUGCUUUAUUGACUAUGCCAAAGCCUUUGACUGUGUGGAUCACAAUAAACUGUGAAAAUUCUUCUAGGGUGGGAAUACCAGACCACCUGACCUGCCUCUUGAGAAAUCUGUAUGCAGGCCAGGAAGUAACAGUUAGAACUGGACGUGGAACAACAGACUGGUUCCAAAUAGGAAAAGGAGAAUGUCAAGGCUGUAUAUUGUCACCCUGCUUAUUUAACUUCUAUGCAGAGUACAUCAUGAGAAACGCUGGACUGGAAGAAACACAGCUGGAAUCAAGAUUGCCGGGAGAAAUAUCAAUAACCUCAGAUAUGCAGAUGACACCACCCUUAUGGCAGAAAGUGAAGAGGAGCUAAAAAGCCUCUUGAUGAAAGUGAAAGAGGAGAGUGAAAAAGUUUGCCUAAAGCUCAACAUUCAGAAAACGAAGAUCAUGGCAUCCGGUCCCAUCACUCCAUGGGAAAUAGAUGGGGAAACAGUGGAAACAGUGAAAGACUUUAUUUUUGGGGGCUCCAAAAUCACUGCAGAUGGUGACUGCAGCCAUGAAAUUAAAGGACGCUUACUCCUUGGAAGAAAAGUUAUGACCAACCUAGAUAGCAUAUUCAAAAGCAGAGACAUUACUUUGCCGACUAAGGUCCGUCUAGUCAAGGCUAUGGUUUUCCAGUGGUCAUGUAUGGAUGUGAGAGUUGGACUGUGAAGAAGGCUGAGUGCCGAAGAAUUGAUGCUUUUCAACUGUGGUGUUGGAGAAGACUCUUGAGAGUCCCUUGGACUGCAAGGAGAUCCAACUAGUCCAUUCUGAAGGAGAUCAGCCCUGGGAUUUCUUUGAAGGGAAUGAUGCUAAAGCUGAAACUCCAGUACUUUGGCCACCUCAUGUGAAGAGUUGACUCACUGGAAAAGACUCUGAUGCUGGGAGGGAUUGGGGGCAGGAGAGAAGGGGACGACCGAGGAUGAGAUGGCUGGAUGGCAUCACGGACUCGAUGGACAUGAGUCUGAGCGAACUCCAGGAGAUGGUGAUGAACAGGGGGACCUGGCUGCUGCAAUUCAUGGGGUCACAAAGAGUCGGACAUGACUGAUCAACUGAACUGAACUGAACUGAACUGAAAGGGGGAAGAAUGGAAUUAGGCAGGAAAGCUAAAGAGCACCAUGCCUGCCUUCCACCCCUACUGCACGUGGGCAUCUUGCAGUUUGCCUGAGCUGGUUAAGCCUCACUUGGUGUUUUUAUCGUUAGAGACUGGAAAUUAUUUUUAAGUACUUUGUGAGUGAAAGCAAUUCUGGACUUUUUAUUAUUUGAGAGUAAGGUUUUUCAACCUGGGUUGGGAGAAGAACCUCUGUGAAAAUUUCAAAGGGUAGUGGGAGAGGGUGUUGCCUUCUAAUUAUAUUCAUGAGUCAAAAAUAGUGAUUACAUAAACUCAAAAUGGAUUAAAGAUCUAAAUGUAAGAUCAGAAACCAUAAAACUCCUAGAGGAGAACAUAGGCAAAACACUCUCAGACAUAAAUCACAGCAGGAUCCUCUAUGAUCCACCUCCCAGAAUUCUGGAAAUAAAAGCAAAAAUAAACAAAUGGGAUCUAAUUAAAAUUAAAAGCUUCUGCACAACAAAGGAAAAUAUAAGCAAGGUGAAAAGACAGCCUUCUGAA
ensembl:lncRNA